rnacentral:lncRNA from 1 species
AAUAAAGCUUUGCCGUAGAAGGAUCUGGUUGUCCGAGUGUGUUUUGCUGGCGAAACAUUACAAGGACAUCCCAUCCCACCUACACCAUGGACCACCCACAUCAAGGUCUCCAGGCUGAGGGUAGAGCUUGUACAAAAUGAAAAUUUUGGUCACCACUCCAGAGCUACUGAGUUAGAAACCAAGAGUGAUGUUUAGCAGUGAGCGUUCCAGCUGACUAUCAUGCUCACUGAAAUUGAGAGGCACGCACCUACUCUACGCUCACUCUUCACAUUCCCUAGAGCAUACACCACUCAUCUCUGCUAGUGGAUCACCUCUGAACGCUGUCUGCGCUGGGCUGAGGAUGCUCAUUACUGAAGUUCAAGGUUCUUACUGAUGUCACUGGAAAAUUUGUCUCUGCUCUGAGAAAUCACAGGGUCCCCGGAAGGCAAUCAUGUGAAUUCAGUCAUCAGUUACAUUUCGCCAAGAAUUAAGUCACCCAUCAGCUGACUCAAGGCUUCAACACAUGUCUAAGCUCAGAGAUGCUACUGGUCUCUUCCACGACUUGUUCAAGAUGGAUCUAACACUGAUGAACCCCAUGCCAACAAUUUGCUUCCCAACGUAAAGCUAACUUGGAGUGUGGGAGACGCACACUGAAAUCAUUCUCCUCACAUUAUCAUUAACUUGGGCUCACGAUAAGCGGCCAUCACAGGCUCAGAAGUGGACUUUACCCAUCUUGGACACAAAGCAGUGUUUGUACCAGAAUAAAACGGAAUAUGACUCAUAUACAAAUGGAGAACCUUGAAGCCUAUGAUGUACAUUAUAGAAAGCAGAAAUAGGAAAUGAUGCUGUGCAUUCUAGGUUGAUCCUUUCUAUAAUUAACAAUGUAUUUCUUUCAGGGUUAGUCUUUGUGACUCGUGAGGUGACUACACUAACACCUGGUGUUGAUAAGAUGGCAUGAAAACAGCCAGCUCUGGAAGUCGUGCGGAGUGAUGGCUCAGAAGUGAAUAGUGCUUGCUGCUCUUUCCAAGGACCCGAGAUGGGUUACCAGCACCCAUGUUCUCCAGAUCACAGUCUUCGCUAACUCCAGCUCCAGGGCUUCUAACCCCCUCUUCUGGCCUCCAUGGUCUUUCAUGUGUAUUCUGCAGAAGCCAGAAGGUCCCAUCGAGCUGGAGGUACCGG